UACGAGGGGUGCAAGCGUUGCUCGGAAUUAUUGGGCGUAAAGGGUAGGUAGGUGGUCUUAUUUGUCUGGGGUGAAAUCCUUGAGCUUAACUCAAGAAGUGCCCCAGAAACGGUAAGACUAGAGUCCUGGAGAGGGUCGUGGAAUUCCCGGUGUAGCGGUGAAAUGCGUAGAGAUCGGGAGGAACACCAGAGGCGAAGGCGGCGACCUGGACAGGCACUGACACUGAACUACGAAAGCGUGGGGAGCAAACAGG
rnacentral:rRNA from 1 species